rnacentral:rRNA from 1 species
AAUAUUUCACAAUGGGUGAAAGCGUGAUGCAGCAACGCCGCGUGAGCGAAGAAGGCCUUCGGGUCGUAAAGCUCUGUCCUAAGGGAAGAAAUUUUGACGGUACGUUAGGAGGAAGCCCCGGCUAACUACGUGCCAGCAGCCGCGGUAAUACGUAGGGGGCGAGCGUUAUCCGGAAUCACUGGGCGUAAAGGGUGCGUAGGCGGCCAAAUAAGCCAGAGGUGAAAGGCUACGGCUUAACCGUAGUAAGCCUUUGGAACUGUAUGGCUUGAGUGCAGGAGAGGAGAGUGGAAUUCCUAGUGUAGCGGUGAAAUGCGUAGAUAUUAGGAGGAACACCAGUGGCGAAGGCGACUCUCUGGACUGCAACUGACGCUGAGGCACGAAAGCGUGGGGAGCGAACGGGAUUAGAUACCCUGGUAGUCCACGCCGUA